UACGGAGGAUCCAAGCGUUGUCCGGAUUUAUUGGGUUUAAAGGGUGCGUAGGUGGAUAAUUAAGUCAGGGGUGAAAGCCUGCAGCUCAACUGUAGAACUGCCCUUGAAACUGAUUAUCUUGAAUUUGGUUGAGGUAGGCGGAAUGUGUCAUGUAGCGGUGAAAUGCUUAGAUAUGAUACAGAACACCAAUUGCGAAGGCAGCUUACUAAGCCAAUAUUGACACUGAGGCACGAAAGCAUGGGGAGCAAACAGG
rnacentral:rRNA from 1 species